UACGUAGGUGGCAAGCGUUGUCCGGAAUUAUUGGGCGUAAAGCGCGCGCAGGCGGUCCUUUAAGUCUGAUGUGAAAGCCCACGGCUCAACCGUGGAGGGUCAUUGGAAACUGGGGGACUUGAGUGCAGGAGAGAAGAGUGGAAUUCCACGUGUAGCGGUGAAAUGCGUAGAGAUCGGGAGGAAUACCAGUGGCGAAGGCGGCUUUCUGGACUGACACUGACGCUGAGGCGCGAAAGCCAGGGGAGCAAACGGG
rnacentral:rRNA from 1 species